AAAGUAGGGCCUGGUUUUCCCAAAUUUCUUCCUGCGCACAUUUGAGGUUCCCAGGAAAUAGAAUGAGGGUGGCCCUUCCCUGGCCUGAGAGGUCACCACAGAGCCCGAGAGGCCCUAUGACACCGAGCAGGCUCCCCUUUGUCCUUCAUUCCAUCCUCUCCCCUCCCCAGCCUGGCUUAGCCCUCAUGCGCCCUUCAGAUCCCAGAUCCAGCACCAUUUCCACAGAAAAGACUUCCCUGUUCCUCCUGACUUGGUCAAGCUCCUCUGUCAUAUGGACUUAGGGAACAAUUUUUCUCUCCUUUACAGCAUUUACCUCAGUAGGUAAUAUUUGUGGAGCAUGACCCUGUCUGUCUGCUGUUCACCUCAAUGUCCAAAGCCCUUGAGCACAGUGCUGGCCACUACCAGGUGCUCAGUAAAUCUCUCUGCGAGAAUGAAUGAUCAGCAAGGUGGGCAAAAGAAACAUUUCUUCAGCUAACUAUACUUUGAGGAAUAACCCCCACGUGCCCAAUAACCCACAAAUGCCCCACCUAGAGGUCUGACAUCUGACUAGGCGCGGACAUCCAGGCCUCUAAGGUCGGGGGACAGCACUGCCCAAGGCCUGACACACAGGCUUCCCACGGCCUUUUGUCUGAAGCACAGCCUCUGCCCAGGGUGAGCGCCAGGGUCGGGGAGGCGGAUUCUGGUGCAGCCCACAGGGCUUGAGGCUCACAUGGCCUUCUGACCACCAAAGUCUUCUGCAGGGACGUUGUUCAGAACAAAGUUGUGACUCAUCUCUGAACAAGGCCCUUGAAGCCCAGAAGGAGGGAAAACUGCAGACUCACUCAAGGGGCCAGGAGGAACUUUCUUAGUCACAGACUCCAGGGGGUGGUCCAGAGGCUGCCCAGGAGCAAUGGCGUCGUCCUCGGCUGGGAACAAUAGAGUCCCACACCUCAGCUACUUUUUCGGCUCUGGCUUCCCAGUGGGUGAGGCUCUUAUUAAAUUUAGGAUUACCAUGUGUAAAGCACAGGCUGAAUUUUCUUUGCUCUGCCAUGUAACUUGCCUUUCCAAAUAGGCAGAGCUGCAGUUAAUCUACUGACCACGGGUUUAACCGGUGGGUGGCCAGCAGGCCCCACCAAAUUCCUCCUCGCCCUUUGUUACCUGGCCUGGAAGGCAGAGACCCCUUGUUUGGGAAGUGUUUCUCCUCCCCCCGAACAUUUUCUGUAUUAGGAGUCUUUUGUCACCGUAAGUCUGAAGCGGGGGAUUAUGACAGUAGGCUGUCACCCAGAUUGUUUCCUCCAGAGGAUAAUGGGAAAAGUUUGCGGGCUAGCCUAAUGAAGCCUUUAUUUGGGGGACAAUGCCAUUUCCAUUAAAUUAAAGCUCAAGCCUUAACAAUGCCUCACAACGAACCCAAUUUGAAUAUUUAAUUUGGGAAGGCAAGGAGCUGAGUCAACACCUUGCUCCCCUCAGCCCCUUUCUGGACGCCUCUUGCUGCAACCCUGAGGAAGGUUCCUGAGUCACUGAUGUCAGUCAGCAGCUGUUGCCACCAACAAGAAAGGUGGAAGAAUCUAAAUCUUUAAUAUUCAACUGAUAUCAAAGAAUGUUGUUUAGUCUUUACUUAAAAAAAAAAAUUCCAGGGGCUGGCCCCGUGGCCGAGUGGUUAAGUUCGCGCGCUCCGCUGCAGGCGGCCCAGUGUUUCGUUAGUUCGAAUCCUGGGCACGGACAUGGCACUGCUCAUCAGACCACGCUGAGGCAGCGUCCCACAUGCCACAACUAGAAGAACCCACAACGAAGAAUACACAACUAUGUACCGGGGGGCUUUGGGGAGAAAAAGGAAAAAAUAAAAUCUUUAAAAAAAAAAAAAAUUCCAGGAAGUGAAAAUAAGCGGCCAACUGAAAUCUGUCUCUUCUGAGCCUUGUAAGCCACACAGGCCACACCGGCCACACAGUGAGGGCUCUCCCCACCUCAAGUGCUCACGCUCCACGACCAAGGCCAGGGUCCUCUGAGAACUGUGCACUGCCUCAGACCCCAGCCGAAGUCCUCUUUCUUUGCUUCUUCAGAGAAUCUCUAAGAGAAAGAAAUGUCUACAUUUGCUUGAUUUUUUUAAAAUGGCUGUAGUGACGUCAAAUGCCAUGGAAUUUUCUGUAUCUUCCUCCUCUACCUGGCAACCAGGCAGCAAGGCAACAAGCACCCAAGAGAUGGAGUUGUGUGUGGGCUCCACUGAGCUGAGAGUCAGAAUUACCCAAGAAUAAUUUCUCCAGGGAUCAUUUGUACAGUUUUCUUGUCCCUACCCACAGCAUGGCAGCUAAUUCUCGGUCUCCUUUUCACCUCUUGCUUCCUCGGGGAAGAGCCAUCUUUUGUUCUGUCCUCCUAGAGACGGUAAUCCAUCCCAAUGAGUUUAUGUGCUGCCUCUCGCCUCACCUCUUCUGUUUCCCUUCAUUUUCAGUCUUUGCCAAUAGCAGAGAUGAUCAGAAGCAGCUGACUCACCCUGUAAGAGGGUGAGUCAUCACACUGACACACUUGAUUUCUCUGUCGAAAAUUUGGUUUCCACCUUGCCAAUGAAGAAGGGAAGAAAAGGCAGAGAAGGGAUGUCUCUGGCCUUGCUGAGCUGGUGGCCCUUGAGCCUAAUCUCUGCCCAGGUGAGCUGCCAUAAGUGACCCUAUGUGGGAGCAUCUGCUGGGGCCACAGUGCUUGACAUCAUCCGAGAAAUUCUAACCAAGUUCCCAACGUCUGUUUUGGCGGUUAGCCAUCAAGUCCCAAAACAAAGGAAGCAUUGAAGGUGAUUCUAGAGACUGGCCACCAGGACCACCCAACCAUGGCUACCACAUGGGGUCCUAGGAGGCCAGAGCCUCAAGUCUAGGGAAAGGUCCUUUUGAGGCAGUCUCUGUGUGUGUGUGUGUGUGUGCGCAUGCACGUCCCCACACACGUGUGCGAGGAAGGGAAUGAAGGCUUGGCACACAAGUUGUGACAGGUGGUUGACCUUCAGUCGAUCUGUGGUUGGGCCCAGAGCUGUCUGCAUCUGGUGGAGGGGACUGUCUGGCAUCUGGUCCAAUCGCUCACACCACGGCCGCGGAGCUAAGGGCCUUCGUUCAGGCACAGCUCACAAUUGUUGAUCCGCUUUGAGAACUCUACCAGGUCUCACAACCAAGCACCAGUGAUGCCAUCCGUCUUUUCCUGUGCAUUCAAAUUAACCUCUAAACCUUCUUUUUAGGAGGGCCUUUCCUCUGGGCAAGGACGUCACAGGCAGAGUGGCCAGAGCCAUGGCCCAGUGGCUGGGCACACCAUUUCCUCAGCAGAAAUGGGACAAGGCCCAAGAUAAGAUGGCUCUCUCCUUGGGCAGGUCAUUUCACCUCUCUGAGCCUCAGUCUCCUCUGUAACAAGGGGGGUAGUAACAGCAACAAUGUCCGAGGACUGUUGUGAAGAUAAACUAGGAGUCAGUGUAAAGGGCUUGGCACGAUGCCCGGCACACAAGAGCACUCAGUGAAGGUGAGCUGCUGCUACUGUUUCCCUUUGGGUCCUUCCAAUCCUCAAUUGGGGCGCAGGGAGUGGGGGCAAAGUGCAGCCCAGGUCACUGGGAAAAAAGAAAUCUCAAAGUAAGGGAGUGGGGGAAAGUUCCACUUCCAGCCUAAUUAUGAAAGAAGCCUGGGUAGGGAGGGGCGGGAGAGCCCCGAGGAGGGAGAAAAGGGAAGUGAGACGUUGCAGAGAGCAGAAAGAGAUUUUCAGGGGGCACCGGCUAUUGAGGGAGCACAGGCCGCGCAAGGUGCCGCCUCUUCAAACAGAGGCCGGUUAAGAACCGAUUUUGAGAGACCUGGAAGCACAUUUGCUUGGGACUCCCAAAGAGGGAGGGCGAAAUGCCCCAUUAAGGGUGGGACGAAUUGAUUUCCCAAAGAAGAACAGCACCAUUUCCUCCAAAUGCCCUCUCCAGUCCUCCUUAAUCUGUCCUGGAGGCAGCAGGUGACCUCUGCACAGGCCCCUGGAGGCGCCUUUGUUCUGGGGCAUUCUGCAGCCCGCCCCGCCCCCACCCCUUGCACCUGGGCAGCAGCCUCCGCAUGCACUUGUCCACCCUUGGCUGGCUCGCAAGGAGGGAUGGGCGGAUGCCUUUGUAUGUGAAAAGCCACGAGUCCUCCAACUCCUGGUUUCCCUUGGCUUGGCACAUUCACAGAUGCUUUUCCUGUUCACUCUGACAGCCACAGAAACCUACUCCCAGAGAAAAAUAGCUUAGCCUGCAACACUUGAUCUGGUAAGACAAGUCUGUGACUGAGACUACCAAGCGGGAGACCCUCGCUCUUCCUGGCGAGAGCCCCGCCCUGCAGAAACCCAGGUGUUCCCUGCUGAGUUCUAAUCCAAUCUCUCCGAGUUUGGCUAAUUUAAUUGCGUAAUGGUCCACACCUGAGACAUCCCCUUAACUCUCUUUAGGACAUUACUUAGCUUAAAAGAACUAAUGAGUAUUAAAGACCGGGACUUAGACUUGAAAGCUUUUACCAUCUCUAAAACAUCUGAGUCAAGCAGAAGAAACCUGAUUGGGGGGAGGGGGUGGCUUCCCAGUUAGAAAAAGCAACAAGAAGUAAUUAAAGUUCUUGCUAAGUGAGUCUGAAAUAUGUAUUUAGCUCUCGUAAAUUAAAUACCCUAGGUUUUUAAAGAGCGAUUUCCCCAAACAUCUAUUAUUCACAUCAGUAGGACAGACGCCGUAACAACUUCAACGACUGUCUUGGUUCCACCCCGAAGAUUUCACUGAGAGAACACGUUAGAGGGAAUCAGGAAGCAGAGAAAAGGUCACAAAUAAGCACCUCAGGAACAAUGAAAGCUUUUCUCUAUGCAGCAGUGGGAGAGUUGCUAGAAAAACUGGAAAGGUAUUAAUCAGAAGUGGCUAUAAAUCCUCUGGAGUUUUGCUCUUAUAAAACUCCUCAGAGAAAGUCUUGAAGGAAAUGCAGGUCAAAGCCCAAAAAAGCUCUUGAUCAGAGAUUGCUGGAGGAAAAUCUUCCCAGACGCUGGUUAAUAGGCAGCAAUCACCCCAGGAGUGGGGAAGCCAAGUACGCUUGAAACAUGGUUGCAAUUCCUAAUAGGUCUUGUCACACUUAAGGCACUGCAAGCUCCGUCCAACGAACAGCUGAAGCUAGCUGGCGAUUCAUAAAGCCAACAGUUUAAAGUUUAUUAUGAUGAAAGCACUUAAUGACAGCCAUCGCUAGGGGCCCAUCAUUUAUAAAGCUGUGCUGAGUAUUAGACAUGUAGCAUGACCACCAAUUUUAUGUCACAAUUGCUACCAUAAAAUGACCUUUGGUGAUUUUUGCUGCAUGUGGUGGACAGCUCUUCCUUCACAUUAGUGCUCUGUGGCUUUCUUUGCAGACUAUUAUGCUGUCUAAAGCUUAUUUGGCACUGUCGUGAGCCUCAACCCUUGUUAUUACCCCGAAGGCCUGUCUAAAAAAAAAAAAAAAAAUCUCAUGCUCUAUUACGCCACUCCAAUAAUUUACAGUUCUUACCAGCCUUGGGUAGUGUAAUAUUUUAAUGCAAAUAUGCUUUACCAUUCCAUUUUAUUUAAAAAGAAAAAAAGUUCCCGUGCUUCUGGCUAGCGCAAUAUCCAUUUGAUGGCAGUUCACUGAAAUCAGCCCCUGAUUCCCGGUUCAGGUCUCAUUCAAUGGGCACUCUUUUCCCUGGUCAGUUAAAACCCUUCUAGGAAAAAAAAAGGGUUAAUUAAAUUUCCCUUGAGAAAGAGAGUUUUUUUUUUUUAAGAUCCUGUGUGUGAUAAACCCACCUAGGGCAGAAACACCAAUUCUUAUUUUCUGACAUCCAGUCCCAAUGCGAAUUUACAUCUGAGCAACAUUAUUUAAUUAGGAUUCCAUUUUCCAACCUGCUUUGUAUAGUUAGAAAGUGUUUGAAUACCCAGCCACGUUACUGCUCCCAUGUAAACCGCGGCUGAGAAAGUGGUCUGUGCCUGCUUCACCACCUUUAAAUUGUGUAUAUAAUUUUAUAAAUGAUAUAAAAUCUGCUUCUAGUCCCUGAAAAAAGAAAAAAAACACAAGCAUGGCACACUGCAAUUUUGGAAGGAUUUAAAAUAUGUGAUUUCUGCUGGUACCUACUGUAUUGGGUUUUAUAUAAAGCUUUUUUCAAUAAGGUA
rnacentral:lncRNA from 1 species